rnacentral:sRNA from 1 species
GGGCACAAGAGCUCCGAGCCCGGUCGUCGGGGCGGUAGAACCUGGAAGCGGGAGAGUGGUCUGGUGGGUUCUGCGCCCGUUAGGCAAUGAAGGAGAAGGAUGUUUUAUCGUAUUCACGCUUUAGAUUCCAUUAGCGGUGUAAAUAGAUGUUUUUCUCUUUAUUUUAGAAUUGACGUUAGGCGAAUGGGUUCAACUUUGGGAAUGCCUUUUUUUUUUUUUUUUAAAGGAAGGGCCCUGUUUCGUAGGGUACAUAAACCGUGAGCGUAAUUGUAUUUUUUGCAUAUUCCAGGUUUGCUUGUGAAGGUCAGAGUAGCCGGAUUUAAGUGAAGGAGUUCAGUAGACAUGCAGACAUGGUCACCUGGUUCAUUUUCUGAACCCUGGAUUGUGCCCUCGGUACUGCUAUAACCAGAAUUUGGUAGAAAAAGGAUUUACUUGUUGGGGCCCUCUUGAUAAAAAGAGAUGUGGGGGGAUUCUCGACCUGCUAACAGAGCUGGACCUUUUCGGACUGGGUGAAAGCUUUUUCAGCAGCAGUCAUGUUGAAAACCUUGUGUUGACUUUCCUCGUGUUCUGAAAUGGGAGCAUAAAAGUUUACUCCGCCACUUCGUCUUAAAAUAGCAAAACUUUGCUGUUUUCUGCAGAUCUAGGACCUUGUUACAGAACUCUGCCAAAA